AGGAUGAACGCUGGCGGCGUGCCUAACACAUGCAAGUCGAACGAGAAAGUGGAGCAAUCCAUGAGUAAAGUGGCGACCGGGUGAGUAACACGUGACUAACCUACCUUCGAGUGGGGGAUAACCUCGGGAAACCGGGGCUAAUACCGCAUAACAUCUUUGAAGUGGAAAUUUCGGAGAUCAAAGGAGCAAUUCGCUGGAAGAGGGGGUCGCGGCUGAUUAGCUAGUUGGCGGGGUAACGGCCCACCAAGGCUUAGAUCGGUAGCCGGCCUGAGAGGGCGCGACGGACCGACACUGGAACUGAAACACGGUCCAGACUCCUACGGGAUGCAGCAGUGGGGAAUUUUGCGCAAUGGGGGAAACCCUGACGCAGCAACGCCGCGUGGAGGAUGAAGUCCCUUGGGACGUAAACUCCUUUCGACCCGGACGAUAAUGACGGUACGGGUGGAAGAAGCCCCGGCUAACUUCGUGCCAGCAGCCGC
rnacentral:rRNA from 1 species